AUCGGGCCGGGCCGCGCUCGGCGGGAGGGGCGGGGGGAGCCUUGUGGCACCGCCGAGCGGCCGCUACCUUGUGGAGGGCCCCAGGAGGGAGACGGGGGGACCGGGGAUGGGGCGAGUCACUCGCCGGCGCUGAGCGCCGUGGGGCGGCUGCGGGACGGGGCGCAGGGUGCGGGAGAGGCCCGCUGGUUUCACGGUGGGUCUGUGCACGGGAGCCCUCCACGCCGAGUCCUUCCCGCGGUUCCUCCGGGGGCUGCCGCCGCCCCGGGGCUCUGGGGUGGGCACGGCCGGCGCCGGCGCGGGCGCUUCCUCCCGGCCCGAUACACGGGGCGUUCGCAAGAGUCUCCCGAGGAAUGGGGCAGAGCCUGCUGAGGCGUUUGCCUUCCAGGACCUUCCCUGCCUGCCCCCUGCUGCGUCAUGUCUUGGAGUCUGCGGCUUGGCUUGGAAUCAAGCGGGGACCCAGCUGUGGUUGUUUCCGCCGCUGGUACGUGCAGCGCAGAGACAUUUAGGUGGGAUCAGAGGCAAGACACCUUUCAGCACUAACAGGGAAAAGCUGCUCAAAGUGUUACUCGCUGUGAGCAAAGCCCCAGGGCUCCUGGGCGCCGACCUGGAGGGCGGUACGGCGGCAGACACCGAGGAGCGAUGGCUCAGUGCGUUCGUGCAGCACGGGGCUGCAGCUGCCCAGCUGAGUCAACGCAGGAUCCAGCCAGCAGCUGGUGGGUGCUUCCAGCCUCCCGGCAAAUGCAGCUGGAUGUGGCAGUCUCACAAUGCAUUGUCCCCUUUUGCCAGUAGGUGUUCAAGUCUGGUUAGGCCAACGAGCCCCAGAGAGCAGUCACCCAUGAGAGAUCCUGAGCAUGCAGUGGCCGAGCAUUUCUCUCCCAGUGCAGUCCAGUUGACUCACCAUGAUAACACCCCUGUGCCCGUUCCACGUGGAUCCAAAUGUCUGUGGAAGGUGGAGACCUGCUGACGCACAUAUACCCUGGGCCCAGCAUUGAGGUGUAGGAUCAGCAAGAUACCACCAUUACCUCCCCUAGGAGCCUGCAGCUGUAUCAAGGUUCAGUAACAAAGGCACUGGGAAGCAAGCAGCAACAUCAGAAGCAGGUCGAUGUCUUAUUCAGUUCAUACUGCUGCUGUCUUUCUCUUGGUCAAAAAGCAUGUGCUGUGGCAUUACAGUGAGAAUGUCAUGUCCUCCUCAGACAGAGGAUCUUCUGUUUUUCUGUUUCCUUUAGAAGAUGCCAGUAUUCUGGAAUAUGCAAUGUCCUAUGUUAAGCUAGGAGACCUUCCCCCAGUCUCCACAAAUGGUUCUUUGAGUUACAAGACCGUGCAGGAUCCUGGAGUUGUAUCCUUUUGACUUCAUGUAGUCACACAGGUCCCCUGCUGCAGGCCUGAUAUGAGACUGUAUAUCCCAUUAUUCCAGCAGAGAUGGUUACACCAACCUUUUGUGAUGCCUGCAUGCCUCAGCUACCACCAGACUGACACUGGACUGGCGGUGCCGUCCCAUCUGUCCCACAAUGGUAGAAGCUGGGAGUGGCCAGGACACAGGGAUGGCAGCCCAGAAGGGAGCCUGGAGCUACAAGUUAUACACUAUGUCUUCACACAGGUUAUGCCAAAACAGCAAAUUAAAUAGUACCAGGGCCUGGCCUCAGGUGUAGAGAACUCAGUUGUCUACAGUAGUUAAUGGUUCAUUCCUUCCCCAAUAUGUCUGUGGCCUGUGCUAGCUCGCAUGUCCCCAGGCAAUGCGCUAGCACAGUUCAGGAGUGAGCACAGGCGGGAGAACCACCACUGCCAGUGGGCACUCUGGACACACUCUGGAAGCUGUCUGUGGACAUCGCCAGGUAGUGCCACCAUCAAAAUCUCUUGAGCUGGACCGAGCUAGAUCAGCUCACUCUUGGAAGGGGAGAGGAGCUGUGUCCCACACAGGGCAGCCUUAAUUGCCCUUGGUGUGUACUGUGAGAGAGAGGACUACAAAUCUGUGACCUACACAGCUGCUCUGCCUGAUUCUGCAGCAUGUGGGUGGUCUGGGACAUAACUUUAUGGUUCAGUCCUGAGCAGAGGCACCAGCACCAGGAAGAAGCUGCAAGACCGGAGAGCGAACGCAAAGGAGAGGCUGAAGAGCUGUUGUGGACCUGGGCUGUGGUGGAGUGUGUUGGGAUGGCCACAGCAGUGGAUGGUGGAGAUGAAUUUGGGCAGGCCUAGAGAUGGAAGGGCAGUGAGAAGAAUGAUGGCAUAACUCUUUCAAAGCAAUGCAAUGCUGCUGAUAUACAGUAUGGAUGUGACGCUUCUGCUGUAAAAUGCCCAGAGACACAGUUAAAUGAACUUUGGGAUGCACCACUUGGUGUGCUGGCCUGUCCAAGACUUCAACCAAGAGCUCCAUGUGACAGCUUCUCACCUGCCAAAUGGGGGAAAUAAUCCCAGAGACAGAAGUGCAGGUUAGAAGGGAGCUGCUCCGCUCCCCACAGCCCCAGCGGAGCAUCCUGACGUUGUGACCUCUGACAGGUGUUUGUCUGACCAGUUCUUAACGACUUCCAGAGACGGUGAUGUCACAUCCACCCCAGCAACCUUAAUCACUAAGAAAGUUUUCCUUGAUACGUCACUUCAUUCUCUCCUCCCUAGCUCCCCAUUUCUUGUCACCAAGGAGUGGCAGCUCUUUUCUGAGGUCCCAGUCAUCCACACGGGCACUAACUGUAUUUUCCUGUUUCAGUUUGCGCAUGCAAAAUUUAAAUAACAGAAAUAUAAGGUCAAGGUACUUUUCGAUAAUUUUCAUGCUAUUUAUUUUGUAGGAUUUCUGCACUGGCUAUUCUGUUCAUGAUAAAAUGUGUAAAAAUUAUUUCAAAUAAAUUGUCUUCUUUCUACGGUUCACCAAAA